UGUGGGGGAUAACCAUUGGAAACGAUGGCUAAUACCGCAUGAUGCCUACGGGCCAAAGAGGGGGACCUUCGGGCCUCUCGCGUCAGGAUAUGCCUAGGUGGGAUUAGCUAGUUGGUGAGGUAAGGGCUCACCAAGGCGACGAUCCCUAGCUGGUCUGAGAGGAUGAUCAGCCACACUGGAACUGAGACACGGUCCAGACUCCUACGGGAGGCAGCAGUGGGGAAUAUUGCACAAUGGGCGCAAGCCUGAUGCAGCCAUGCCGCGUGUGUGAAGA
rnacentral:rRNA from 1 species